UGGGGAAUAUUGCACAAUGGGGGAAACCCUGACCCAGCAACGCCGCGUGAAGGAAGAAGGCUUUCGGGUUGUAAACUUCUUUUAUGUGGGACGAAACAAAUGACGGUACCACAUGAAUAAGCCACGGCUAACUACGUGCCAGCAGCCGCGGUAAUACGAAGGGGGCAAGCGUUGUUCGGAAUUACUGGGCGUAAAGCGCACGUAGGCUGUUUGUCAAGUCAGAGGUGAAAUCCCACGGCCCAACCGUGGAACUGCCUUUGAAACUGGCAGACUUGAGUGUCGGAGAGGGUGGCGGAAUUCCAGGUGUAGGAGUGAAAUCCGUAGAUAUCUGGAGGAACACCGGUGGCGAAGGCGGCCACCUGGACGAUAACUGACGCUGAGGUGCGAAAGCGUGGGUAGCAAACA
rnacentral:rRNA from 1 species